rnacentral:tRNA from 4 species
UCCUCAAUAGCUCAGUUGGUAGAGCAUCGGACUGUUAAUCCGCAGGUCCCUGGUUCGAGUCCAGGUUGAGGAGCCA